rnacentral:rRNA from 1 species
AUUGAACGCUGGCGGCAUGCCUUACACAUGCAAGUCGAACGGCAGCACGGGAGCAAUCCUGGUGGCGAGUGGCGAACGGGUGAGUAAUAUAUCGGAACGUGCCCGGUCGUGGGGAUAACGUAGCGAAAGCUACGCUAAUACCGCAUACGAUCUACGGAUGAAAGCGGGGGAUCGCAAGACCUCGCGCGAUUGGAGCGGCCGAUAUCAGAUUAGGUAGUUGGUGAGGUAAAGGCUCACCAAGCCGACGAUCUGUAGCUGGUCUGAGAGGAGACCAGCCACACUGGGACUGAGACACGGCCCAGACUCCUACGGGAGGCAGCAGUGGGGAAUUUUGGACAAUGGGCGCAAGCCUGAUCCAGCAAUGCCGCGUGCAGGAUGAAGGGCCUUGGUUC